UUUUGUAUGAAGCAACAUGCUUCGAAACUUCGACACACUAACACAACUCAAUAUACUUGGUGAUUCGACACUUCUUUGUUCUGUCGAGCAACCUGCUUCGACACAAAGAAUUACAAUUCAACAAAUAUAUGACUUAUUCAUGAAAUUUCAACUUCUUCUUUUAAAGGUGAAUAAAUCGGAUAUCGCAAAUUUAAAUUCAAA
rnacentral:lncRNA from 1 species